GAGUGGCGAACGGGUGAGUAACACGUGGGUAAUCUGCCCUGCACUCUGGGAUAAGCCUUGGAAACGGGGUCUAAUACCGGAUAUCACAACUUCAGGCAUCUGGGGUUGUUGAAAGUUCUGGCGGUGCAGGAUGAACCCGCGGCCUAUCAGCUUGUUGGUGGGGUAAUGGCCUACCAAGGCGACGACGGGUAGCCGGCCUGAGAGGGUGACCGGCCACACUGGGACUGAGACACGGCCCAGACUCCUACGGGAGGCAGCAGUGGGGAAUAUUGCACAAUGGGCGAAAGCCUGAUGCAGCGACGCCGCGUGAGGGAUGACGGCCUUCGGGUUGUAAACCUCUUUCGCCAGGGACGAAGCGCAAGUGACGGUACCUGGAUAAGAAGCACCGGCUAACUACGUGCCAGCAGCCGCGGUAAUACGUAGGGUGCGAGCGUUGUCCGGAAUUAUUGGGCGUAAAGAGCUCGUAGGCGGUUUGUCGCGUCGGCCGUGAAAUCUCCACGCUUAACGUGGAGC
rnacentral:rRNA from 1 species